CACGUAGGGCGCGAGCGUUGUCCGGAAUUAUUGGGCGUAAAGAGCUCGUAGGCGGCCUGUUGCGUCCGCUGUGAAAGCCCGGGGCUUAACCCCGGGUCGGCAGUGGAUACGGGCAGGCUAGAGGUAGGUAGGGGAGAACGGAAUUCCUGGUGUAGCGGUGAAAUGCGCAGAUAUCAGGAGGAACACCGGUGGCGAAGGCGGUUCUCUGGGCCUGUUCUGACGCUGAGGAGCGAAAGCGUGGGGAGCGAACAGG
rnacentral:rRNA from 1 species